CAGUCGCCACGGUAAUACGAAGGGUGCAAGCGUUACUCGGAAUUACUGGGCGUAAAGCGUGCGUAGGUGGUUCGUUAAGUCUGAUGUGAAAGCCCUGGGCUCAACCUGGGAAUUGCAUUGGAUACUGGCGAGCUAGAGUGCGGUAGAGGGUAGUGGAAUUCCCGGUGUAGCGGUGAAAUGCGUUGAGAUCGGAAAGAACACCAACGGCGAAAGCACUCUGCUAGGCCGACACUGACACUGAGAGAUGAAAGCUAGGGGAGCAAAUGGGAUUAGAUACCCCAGUAGUCCCUGUCUCUUAUAC
rnacentral:rRNA from 1 species